AUGGAUAAUUGCAUCGGUGCAAUAGAUGGGACACACAUACAAGUUGUGGUACCAGUUGCCACUGCUACCCAGCAUAGGAAUAGACAUAAGGAGAAGAGUCAGAAUGUGAUAUGUGUGUGUGACUUUGAUAUGAGAUUCACAUUUGUCCUAGUUGGUUGGCCAGGAUCAGUGCAUGACAUGAGGGUCUUCAAUGAUGCAGGAUCCAGAUUUCGUGACAAGUUUCCAAAACCUCCACCUAAUAAGUUUUAUCUUGUGGACUCAGGGUAUCCAAAUAGACCGGGUUAUCUUGCACCAUACAAGGGUUUAACCUAUCAUUUCCAGGAGUACCGUGAUGGCACAAUGCCUAGAGGAAAAAAGGAACACUACAAUUUCACCCAUUCUUCACUUAGAAAUGUCAUCGAGAGGUGUUUUGGAGUCUUGAAGAACAAGUGGAGGAUUUUGUUUCAUUUGCCUAGUUAUCCACAGCCGAAACAAAGCAAAAUCAUUAUGAAAAUUAUGUACCAUUGUCUAUGCCAACGACCACAACAAAUGAUUCAACAAAUGAGACGGACAGUGCUGCUAUGA
rnacentral:rRNA from 1 species